ACAUACCUCACCAGCUGGUUCACACCUGAUCUUGUUUGAUCUUGGAAGCUGAGAUGGUUUGGCCCUUGUUCAUACAUGGAUGGGAGACCUACAGGGAAUACCUGGUCCUGUAAGCU
rnacentral:rRNA from 14 species